GGAAUCUUGGACAAUGGGGGCAACCCUGAUCCAGCGAUGCCGCGUGGGUGAAGAAGGCCUUCGGGUUGUAAAGCCCUUUAGGUUGGGAAGAAGUGUACGGGCGGAAUAAUCCCGUAUGUUGACGGUACCAACAGAAUAAGCACCGGCAACCUCUGUGCCAGCAGCCGCGGUAAAACAGAGGGUGCAAGCGUUAAUCGGAGUUACUGGGCGUAAAGGGCGCGUAGGCGGUUUAUCAAGUGUGGUGUGAAAGCCCUGGGCUUAACCUGGGAAGCGCACCGCAAACUGAUGAACUGGAGUACAAGAGAGGGUGGCGGAAUUUCCGGUGUAGCGGUGAAAUGCGUAGAGAUCGGAAGGAACGUCAAUGGCGAAGGCAGCCACCUGGCUUGAUACUGACGCUGAGGCGCGAAAGCGUGGGUAGCGAAC
rnacentral:rRNA from 1 species